GAAUGAUUUUAGAGAUUUAAUCCCCGUAUUGAAUAUAGACAAAAGAUUGCUCCUUUGUGAUUGAAAAAUUUUUGUCGUCACGGUCGUAGAUGAUUGUCAAAUGAUCAUGAAAUUAGCAACAUUCGCAACAAUCAGGAGUUUCUAAUACUACCAUAAGACGAAUUGUUGCUGAAGGCUGUCAAAAGAGGAAAGGUGGCAAAAAAAAAAAAACUUGGACAGUUUUGAUUUAGAAUUGAUCAGAAACAAGAUAAAUGAGUUUUACACUGUACGAAAAGAAAUACCCAUUGUCAUGAAAUUGCUACAAAUUCUUCGGGAGGAAAUCAAUUUCAAUCAUUUUCUUUCAGUUUGAAUAUAAUCUAAAAACAUAGUAAUCUAAAAAUAACAAUCUUAUUUUGUCUUCAGACUUCUUUUGAAAGACAUCGGAUUCGAAUUCGUGAAGUGCCAAUCAAAUAGGAUUAUUUUAAUGGAGCUACAUGACAUAAAGAUACACAGAUUCAAGUAUUUGGAGCGUAUAGAAAAGAAUUGAGAAGCUAGAUGUGGCUUAUUUAGAUGAAACCUACAUACACGAUUCAUGUUCAGUGAACAAAUGCUGGCAAAAUAAAGAUAUUGCAGGCCCAUCUAAAAGUAUUUCGGCAAGGCCUAGAUGGAUCAUUGUACAUGCUGGUGGAGAAAAUGGUUUUGUGCCAAACUGUUGUUUGGUAUAUAGGUUGAAGAGUACAUCUGCUGACUACCACCAUGAUAUGAAUAAAGAUAACUUUACAAAAUGGGUUACGGAGAAGUUGAUUCCCAAUCUUACAAAACCUUCUCUAAUUGUCAUGGACAACGCCAAGUACCAUUCUGUACAAUUAAACAAACCACCUACAUAAGCCGACCGUAUUGCUGUUAUAAAAGAAUGGCUUCAAUCAAACAAUAUCCCUUACGACGAUAAUUGGCGUAAAUGUCAAUUACUGGAAACAGUGAAAAAUCAUAAGUCUGAACCUAAAUAUCAGAUAGAUGAGAUUUUAAAAUCACACGGCCACGAAGUCUUGAGGCUCCCACCAUAUCAUUGUAUGUUAAACCCCAUAGAAUUAAUCUGAGGAAUAAUGAAACAAAAAGUUGCGGGUAAAAACGUCAAUAGACCUGCAAGUGAUAUAAAAUCUUUAACAGAAGAAGCUCUCUCUCAAAUAAGGAUCAAUGAAUGGCAAAAAUCUUAUGAACAUGUAAUAAAAAUUGAAAAUUAGUUCAAAGAACAAGAUCGAUUAAUUGAGAUGCAGGAGGAAAGGUUUAUCAUAAAUACUGCGUCUUCCUCGUCUUUCUCUUCAGAUGAACACUUUUAUGGAUGUGCAGUAUUUGGAAUCAUUUUCAAGUUCUGAUUAUAGGCUAAUUAAUUAAUAAACUCAUGAAUAGAGUAA